GGGGCACCACCAAGCCAGUGGCACUAUGAAGACCAAGGACCUCACCAAACAGGCGAGGAGGGUCACGACCUUCUAUCUAAUACCAACUGGGAUUAUGGGACCUUGUAUAGAGGGCUUGCAGUUGACGUACGACGCCUCCUGGCGGCCAUGUUGGAAGACCACCGCAUUCGUUCUUCUGACCACAACAGCCGAGUGGCUACCUCAAACUGCAUGAUAACAGUACCUAAAACUAGUUGAUUCAUCACCACGGUCAUUUUCUGUAGAAUUUUUGGCUGCUCUAACAAAGCAGGAAAGAGAACUGGAAAAAAUAUGUUUACAGAUUCCCCGCAAUCAUGAAACACCACUGGUGAAAGCAAGAUAAGACUCAAGAACUGUCAGAAAAGCUAAGAGAACGUUUUGCCCGUCAAGACCUGAACCCAGACCAGACCACCCAGACCACCCAGACCUGAACCCAGGUCUGCUAUGAUAAUUUCAUCACUGGUUCACCAGCUGACCUCUAUUGAGACACCCUUUCUGACUGGAUUCCCACUGUGAAGAUGAGCAAUGCUGCAGCAGAAUCAGUUUCUACUUCUACUACUUUGUACUUUUCCAGAUAUGAUUAUACGAGAUGGUUGUUACAAGCCGUGCUUUGGUAAUUCUGAACGAUUCUGUUGUUCCAUUUGAGUAGAGCACCUUCAACUUGUCGUCAAGACAAAAGUGCCCCCUUAAACCAUAUGAAUAUAUAAAAUGCCAUUUGGAACGUGUAAAAGACUAUUGUUUACGAUAUCGUAAACAUACUGUAAUAGGCUAUUUUGUUGUAUGGGUGUAAUGAAAAGUAUUUUGUCAUCUCUGCUUUCCCUAGCCCCAUUGAAUAAAACAUAUUUCUUACAGCCCAAUUAUUUUCUUUCUUUACAAUUUUAGCACAUUUAGCAUAGACAAUGUAAUUGUUGUAGUAGUCUUAGGCAAACCAUCUUCAUUAUCACAGUGGCACCUCCAAGUGCCACUCAGA